rnacentral:rRNA from 1 species
GGGUAGAGCACUGUUUCGGCUAGGGGGUCAUCCCGACUUACCAACCCGAUGCAAACUACGAAUACCGAAGAAUGUUAUCACGGGAGACACACGGCGGGUGCUAACGUCCGUCGUGAAGAGGGAAACAACCCAGACCGCCAGCUAAGGUCCCAAAGUCAUGGUUAAGUGGGAAACGAUGUGGGAAGGCACAGACAGCCAGGAUGUUGGCUUAGAAGCAGCCAUCAUUUAAAGAAAGCGUAAUAGCUCACUGGUCGAGUCGGCCUGCGCGGAAGAUGUAACGGGGCUAAACCAUGCACCGAAGCUGCGGCAGCGACACUAUGUGUUGUUGGGUAGGGGAGCGUUCUGUAAGCCUGCGAAGGUGACCUGUGAGGGUUGCUGGAGGUAUCAGAAGUGCGAAUGCUGACAUAAGUAACGAUAAAGCGGGUGAAAAGCCCGCUCGCCGGAAGACCAAGGGUUCCUGUCCAACGUUAAUCGGGGCAGGGUGAGUCGACCCCUAAGGCGAGGCCGAAAGGCGUAGUCGAUGGGAAACAGGUUAAUAUUCCUGUACUUGGUGUUACUGCGAAGGGGGGACGGAGAAGGCUAUGUUAGCCGGGCGACGGUUGUCCCGGUUUAAGCAUGUAGGCUGGUUAUCCAGGCAAAUCCGGAUAAUCAAGGCUGAGGUGUGAUGACGAGGCACUACGGUGCUGAAGUAACAAAUGCCCUGCUUCCAGGAAAAGCCUCUAAGCAUCAGGUAACAUCAAAUCGUACCCCAAACCGACACAGGUGGUCAGGUAGAGAAUACCAAGGCGCUUGAGAGAACUCGGGUGAAGGAACUAGGCAAAAUGGUGCCGUAACUUCGGGAGAAGGCACGCUGGUGUGUAGGUGAAGUCCCUGCGGAUGGAGCUGAGACCAGUCGAAGAUACCAGCUGGCUGCAACUGUUUAUUAAAAACACAGCACUGUGCAAACACGAAAGUGGACGUAUACGGUGUGACGCCUGCCCGGUGCCGGAAGGUUAAUUGAUGGGGUUAUCCGUAAGGAGAAGCUCUUGAUCGAAGCCCCGGUAAACGGCGGCCGUAACUAUAACGGUCCUAAGGUAGCGAAAUUCCUUGUCGGGUAAGUUCCGACCUGCACGAAUGGCGUAAUGAUGGCCAGGCUGUCUCCACCCGAGACUCAGUGAAAUUGAACUCGCUGUGAAGAUGCAGUGUACCCGCGGCAAGACGGAAAGACCCCGUGAACCUUUACUAUAGCUUGACACUGAACAUUGAGCCUUGAUGUGUAGGAUAGGUGGGAGGCUUUGAAGCGUGGACGCCAGUCUGCGUGGAGCCAACCUUGAAAUACCACCCUUUAAUGUUU